UACGGAGGGGGCUAGCGUUAUCCGGAAUUACUGGGCGUAAAGCGCACGCAGGCGGUCUUUUAAGUUUGACGUGAAAGCUCCCGGCUUAACUGGGAGAGGUCGUUGAAGACUGGAAGACUUGAGGCAAUGAGAGGGGUGUAGAAUUCCCGGUGUAGUGGUGGAAUGCGUAGAUAUCGGGGGGAAUACCAGUGGCGAAAGCGGCACCCUAGCGUUAGCCUGACGCUCAUGUGCGAAAGCGUGGGGAGCGAACGGG
rnacentral:rRNA from 1 species